rnacentral:rRNA from 1 species
GUAAGCGGGUGGAGUUGAACUGCAAGCUCUGAGAAUUCAGCUGGUGAGUGUGGUUUGAGCUUGGUCAAGUCGGUUGGACCUCGGAGUCUGUGUAGCAACAGGCCUUUGCCUUUCUGGGUAGAGGUGCGCGAUGCACUUAUCAAGUGUUGUGCGCUCCGGGUGUUCUUCGGGCCGACUCGCCAGUGCACUUUCUCAGAGUAGUCACCACGACCGGCACUGCUGUCUGGCUGGUGCGGUUAAACCGGUCUUGCAUUGUCCUUGUGGCUUUGCUUGGUCGGGAUGGCAGGUAGCUUGUUGGCUGGCUUGUGGUUCGCUGCAAUCGGUCUUCGAGUGUAAUCAGCUGACCGUAUCGGUUCUGUGCAGUGUGUCGGAGACGGCGGCUUUUGUGUGUGCGUGCGUGCCAGGUUGGCCGGCGUGUUCGAGUUCUGGUUGUUCCGUAGCCUGUGAAUGCAGGCCUGAUGAUGGCUCGGAUUCGUUCGGUCAACGGUUGCGUGCGUGACACUUUUCAUGGGCCAAUAGUCUGUGGUGUAGUGGUAGACUAUCCACCCGACCCGUCUUGAAACACGGACCA